rnacentral:rRNA from 1 species
AUACGGAGGGUGCAAGCGUUACUCGGAAUCACUGGGCGUAAAGCGCGCGCAGGCGGAUUGGCAAGUUGGAUGUGAAAGCCUGCGGCUCAACCGCAGAACUGCAUCCAAAACUGUCAGUCUAGAGUCUGGGAGAGGUAGCUGGAAUUAGUGGUGUAGGGGUAAAAUCCGUAGAGAUCACUAGGAAUACCGAAAGCGAAGGCGAGCUACUGGAACAGUACUGACGCUGAGGCGCGAAAGCGUGGGGAGCAAACAGGAUUAGAAACCCGUGUAGUCC